rnacentral:rRNA from 1 species
CGCCUCUUGUUUACCUAUAAGAGGUCCAGCCUGCCCAGUGAUUUAAUUCAACGGCCGCGGUAUCCUAACCGUGCAAAGGUAGCGUAAUCACUUGUCCCUUAAAUAGAGACCUGUAUCAAUGGCAUCACGAAGGUUAUACUGUCUCCCUGCUCCAAUCAGUGAAACUGAUCUUCCUGUGAAAAAGCAGGAAUGCUUUCAUAAGACGAGAAGACCCCAUGGAGCUUUAAGCCCAGCAACAAUCUCACACCUACAAUUCCUUAGACUUCAGGAGAAUCUGCCCGCUGGCUUUAGGUUGGGGCGACCACGAAGUAUAACUUAACCUUCAUGACAAAUGGAAUUUUUCCUUAUCUUAGAGCCACCACUCCAAGAAUUAAUAAUUUAAUGUAAUAUGACCCGAUUUAUUCGAUCAACGGACCAAGUUACCCUGGGGAUAACAGCGCAAUCCAUUUCAAGAGUUCCUAUCGACAAAUGGGUUUACGACCUCGAUGUUGGAUCAGGGUAUCCUAGUGGUGCAGCCGCUACUAACGGUUCGUUUGUUCAACGAUUAAAACCCU